UACGAAGGGAGCGAGCGUUGUUCGGAAUCACUGGGCUUAAAGCGUGCGUAGGCGGAUAUGUAAGUCAGAAGUGAAAUCCCGGGGCUUAACCCCGGAACUGCUUUUGAGACUGCAAAUCUAGAAUUCGGUAGAGGUUAAUGGAAUGUCCAGUGUAGAGGUGAAAUUCGCAGAUAUUGGACGGAACACCAGUGGCGAAGGCGAUUAACUGGGCCGAUAUUGACGCUGAGGCACGAAAGCGUGGGUAGCAAACAGG
rnacentral:rRNA from 1 species